rnacentral:rRNA from 1 species
GACGAAGGGGGGCUAGCGUUGUUCGGAAUUACUGGGCGUAAAGCGUGUGUAGGUGGUUGUCAUAGUCAGGUGUGAAAGCCUUGAGCUCAACUCAAGAAAUGCACUUGAUACUGGGCAGCUAGAGGACCGGAGAGGAUAGUGGAAUUCCCAGUGUAGUGGUGAAAUACGUAGAGAUUGGGAAGAACACCAGUGGCGAAGGCGGCUAUCUGGACGGUUUCUGACACUAAGACACGAAAGCGUGGGGAGCAAACAGG